ensembl:lncRNA
CUAUCAAAAGUACCCUAUAGUGUUUUAAGAAAACAUUUUGAUGAUAAAGUGGAGGUACUGUCUAAGACGUACGGUUUAAAGGUUGAAAUCAUGUGGGAGUGUGAGUGGAAACAGGCCAAACAACAUGACAUUGAGGUGGUCGCGUUUAUGAAUGUGUACAAACAUCCUGAGCGUCUGAAACCAAGAGACAGUCUCUUUGGCGGUAGGACAAACGCAUACAAAUUGUAUCAUAAGGCUAAUGAUGGUGAGAAAAUCAGAUAUGUUGAUUUCACCAGUUUGUAUCCAUACUGUCAGGCGAGAAAAAUAUACCCUAUAGGUCAUCCAGAGAUCAUAUUGAAAGAUUUUGGUCCCCUUGACAGUUACUUUGGCCUAGUCAAAGCGACUGUCUACCCCCCUAAAGGGUUGCUUCACCCUGUACUACCAUAUCGUAGUGGGGGUAAAUUAAUGUUUCCUCUGUGUAGGUCAUGUGUUGAACGUGAGAACCAGGACGUACCUUGUAACCAUAAUGAUGCUGAAAGGGCUCUUUCAGGUUGUUGGGUUAGCAUUGAGCUGCUAAAAGCUGUUGAGAAGGGCUAUGUGGUAGCGGCUAUUGAUGAAGUUUGGCAUUUUCCUCAGACCUCUGUGACUCUUUUUUCAGAUUAUGUGAAAACAUUCCUACAGUUCAAGCAGGAAGCCAGUGGGUACCCCGCGCAUGUGACAUCAGAGUCUGCGAAAAGGGAGUAUAUUGAGGACUAUUUUGUGCAGGAGGGGAUUAGAUUGGAUCCAGCCAAAAUAUGUAUUAAUACAGCACGCAGAAGUAUUAACAAACUCUUGCUGAACAGCCUCUGGGGUAGAUUUUCUAUGCGUGAGAAUAUGCCCACAACAGAAGUGUUGAAGGAUCCCGAGCAAUUUGCUAGAUAUAUAUUUGGCAGUGAAUAUGAGGUGUGUCACUUUUCAUUUGUAUCAGACGAUAUGGCCUUGGUGCAGUGGCGUUUUCCUGAAGGGGCUGGUGGUCAGACAUCUGACAUAAAUGUGUUCAUUGGAGCAUUCACGACAGCGCAUGCGCGUCUAGAGUUAUACAAUGUUAUGGAUAAAUUAGGGGAUAGGCUGUUGUACAGCGAUACUGAUAGCUUGAUUUUUGUCUCUAAAGACGGUGACUGGGAACCACCACUAGGGGGCUAUUUAGGUGAUCUCACGGAUGAGAUAGGUGAUGGUGAUCACAUUGUAGAGUUCUGCUCAGGGGGUCCAAAAACGUACGGUUACCGUACGGCCCUUGGCAAGACUUGUAUGAAGGCUAAAGGUAUCACUCUGAAUGCAGAGAAUUCCAAACUUAUCAGAUUAGACACAUUGAUAGACCUUGUUGAUCAUCACGUGACCGACAGACACAGUACACAUCACAUUCUAGCCCACACCAGCAACAUUGUACGUAAUAAAAGGAAUCUCACUCUGAAAAACAAGUCAGAUGUGAAGCGUUUCAAAGUGGUGUACAACAAACGUGUGCUACUCCCUGACUACACAACACUGCCUUACGGUUACUGAUUGUUGGGUAUGUUAAAAAUGGAUAAUUUCAAUACCGGUAUGAAGGAUGUUAACAACUUUGAUUUCAGACUCCAACAUCCUUUUUCAUGUGUAAUAAGCGGUCC